CGAACGCUGGCGGCGUGCCUAACACAUGCAAGUCGAGCGAAUGAAGUUCCUUCGGGAAUGGAUUUAGCGGCGGACGGGUGAGUAACACGUGGGCAACCUGCCUCAUAGAGGGGAAUAGCCUCCCGAAAGGGAGAUUAAUACCGCAUAAGAUUGUAGUACCGCAUGAUACAGCAAUUAAAGGAGCAAUCCGCUAUGAGAUGGGCCCGCGGCGCAUUAGCUAGUUGGUGAGGUAAUGGCUCACCAAGGCGACGAUGCAUAGCCGACCUGAGAGGGUGAUCGGCCACAGUGGGGAGGAGACCAGGCCGGGACUCCCACGGGAGGAGGAAGGGGGGAAUAGUGCACAGGGGGGGGAGGCAGGAAGGACCCAGGCCGUGGGAAGGAUGGGGGGCUGCGGGAAGAAAGGCCCAGUCAUAAGGGAGGAUAAGGAGGGGACCUAAGGAGAAAGACAGGGAAAAACACGGC
rnacentral:rRNA from 1 species